ACAAGAUAUUCAUCGGUGUUCUUGUGAACCAAGUACACAAUAUAUCACUAUGUUAAGCGGGUUCUAAAUCUGAAUAAUGAUUCAAUUAGUUGAGAUUUUGCGGAUUCAAUAACUUAUACAAUGAAGUUUGAUUAGCCAUUUAUAAGCAUGGAACACUUAGGGAACAGUAAAUUUGUCGUUGGUGUGGAUAUAGGAGCUACAUACUCUGGGUAUGCCUUUGCAUCCCGUGCAGAUAUUGAGGAUAAUCGUCUUCAAUUCAGUGUAAACACAUGGCAGGGACAUAGCUUUUCUUCAAUGAAGUGCCCAACAGCUGUUCUACUAAAUGAAAAUGAAGAAUUGUUUGCUUUUGGAUAUCAAGCAGAAAUCAGGUUCUCAAGAUUGUUUGCCAAUGAUGAACACCGGGAUUAUUACUAUGUCAGAGAUCUACGAAAUGUUCUGCAAAAGAGACUGACAAGGCAUACAGAGAUACAAGAUUAUAGUGGCAAGUCAAUAAAAGCUUUAACAGUAAUCGCUCGUAUUAUCGACUAUUUCAAACGACACGUAAAAAAAACAAUACAGGACAAGAUAAAGAACAGAUUUGUCGACGACAUUGUAUUUUAUGUAUUUUCUGUACCAGCUACAUGGAAUGACCACGAAAAGCAUUUAAUGAAAGAAUCAGCAA